GGCGCUAUAGCCAAGUGGUCUACGGCGACAGAUUCGAAUGUUCUCGCUAUCUGUUCCUCUUUGAGGGCGCAGGUUCGAAUCCUGCUGGCGUCG
rnacentral:tRNA from 1 species